rnacentral:lncRNA from 1 species
CUGAACUCUUGGAUCCCUCUUGCUGUGUUUUCUCUGCAAGCAAAGUCUGUCUCUCCCGGCUCUUCUCCCCCACAGGGAAAGGCGAGAGCAUCACCACGACCCAUGCCUAAAGCUCCCCCAAACCUUUGUUAAGCACCCUGUUUAUUACUCCCCAUGGGCUUCCUCCUGCUGUAGGUACUUCCAAAGCCUUUCAUCAUCCCACACACUCCCACAUGCAGCCAACACAUUUCUCAUCUUCACCUCGCAGAGCUUAUCAGACGCAUUUCUACCAUUUAUUGGUUUAUGCUUCGCCUUCACCAGCAGGAGUUCACAAUUAAAUUCUCUCUCCAGGUUAUUUUUUUUUCAUCUCUCUUUUUUCCUUGCCUAAGGCUGAGGAAUGGCUCUGGUGAGCUCGUUACAGAGCUGGUCUGUCCCUGUGGUGGCUGGACCCAGCCGUGGGCGGGAGGGGAAGGAUGUCGCGGGUCAGCUUCCAGCCCACGCAUUUUCUCACCUCAAUAACUCGCCGUUUUGCUCCAGAGCAGCAGGGUUUCACUUGGCUCCAAGCAAACAAGACACAGCCAUAUCAUCUGCUGUUUGUUAAAUACAAAGCUGAGAUCUUCCCUUUUUUUUUUUAUCCUUUUUCUAGGUUAGCUUUGCCUCAGCUCUUCAUCCUGACACAGCAACAGGGGCAGCCCCAGCCAGGUACGACUGCACCAAGACCAAGUGGGAGGUUUUCCUGCCUGGCAUGGCUGGAGUGUGGAGAAGACCCAUGAAAUGCUGCUGUGGCUCUGCUGAGCUCUGCAGAUGCUGGGAGCAGGCACAGGAUGGUCAGGCUGUGAGUAUAAUACUUCUCUGCAGCGAUAAAUCCAGAGUCUGCAUUCAGAAUUGAUGCACUUUUCUAUCUUAAAAAUCCUAAUCGGUUUUUAUCAGUGGCAUCACGCUUCUCUGUGUGAGAGCUGCUCCACUAUCAGCUGGAGGAGUGCUACAGUGUGGUGAAAGAUACUGGAACACGUUCAAAGGUGUGUUUGGCAGCUCCUCUCCCCCUCAGAAGCUCCAUUCCCAGUGGGUUGUUGCCUGCGGUUGUUGUCCGCAGGCGCUGUGACACAGAGCCAGGCACAGAUCAGGCAGAGAUCCACUCCCUUCAGAACAUCCCCAGCUCUCAGCCAAGCUCUGUGAAGGCAAUUCCCAGGCUCAGGCACUGGCUGUGACCUGCAGCAGCUGUCCCUCUGCUCACUGUAACUCUCCAAAACUUCUCUGCUCACAAGGGUUUUUCCUUGUGCCCCUGGUGGCGAUUAAAGUGUGAUCAAUCAGUGUCAAAUAAAAGUCAUCAGAAUAUGGCUGCGAGGCUGAUU